AUGGCGGUCAAGCCAGCGGGAUGGGAUCGGAGACGGCGAGCAGCAGAAACGGUCUUGCUCCGCCCGACUCCUAUCGCCGCUUCCCAUCGCGACGCAGGUAUUAAUAUCCUGAAGCGCAUCUUCGCCGCGUGCGCAUCAGUUUCAGUCGGGCAUCGGCGCGCACCGGCCGUAGGCGACCAACACCAAACCCCACCUGCUCGAGGGAGGACGCAGCCCCGCCCCAAGCACUUCAUUCGGAGGAAACGGCAGCCAUGGUCGACGCCAAAGCUCGCCAGAGCAACAUCGUCCUCCAGAGGUUCCUCUCGUUCGUCUACGGCCCAUGGCUCCUCGGCUUCGGAUUGGGUAAGGGAUGUAAGGGCGGAGGACGCUUGUCAACCCAAGCGCAUGCACGGUGUCGAGAUCUUCAGGACCAGGGACGCGAGCCGCGCCCGCGCUCAGCCGCUUUGGAGCCUCGUGCGGCGCAUCAUCGUUAUCAGCUGA
rnacentral:rRNA from 1 species